rnacentral:rRNA from 1 species
UACGUAGGGUGCAAGCGUUGUCCGGAAUUAUUGGGCGUAAAGAGCUCGUAGGCGGUCUGUCGCGUUCGGCUGUGAAAACUCGGGGCUCAACCCCGAGCCUGCAGUCGAUACGGGCAGACUAGAGUGCUGUAGGGGAGACUGGAAUUCCUGGUGUAGCGGUGAAAUGCGCAGAUAUCAGGAGGAACACCGGUGGCGAAGGCGGGUCUCUGGGCAGUAACUGACGCUGAGGAGCGAAAGCGUGGGGAGCGAACAGG